rnacentral:rRNA from 1 species
GACGAACGCUGGCGGCGGGCUUAACACAUGCAAGUCGAACGGAAGGACCCUGCUUUUGUGGGGUUCUCGGUUGGCGAACGCGUGAGUAACACGUGAGUAACCUGCCCUUGACUUUCGGGUAACUUCAGGAAACGGGGGCUAAUACCGGACAGGAUCUGCUGCUCCAGUGUGGGGGGUGGAUAGUUUCGGCUGUUGGGGAUGGACGGGCGGGUUAUCAGCUUGUUGGUGGGGUAGUGGUUGCCCAAGGCUUGGACUGGUAGCCGGCCUGAGAGGGUGACCGGCGACAAGGCGCCUGAGGUACGGAGCAGUGUCGUACGUUGGGCAGCAGGGGGGAAUAUUGCACAAUGGGCGCGAGCGUGAGGAGGAAGCGUCGGGUGCGGGAAGACGGUCUUUUGGUUGUGAACCGCUUUCGCCUAUGACGAAGCGUUAGUGACGGUACUGGGUGAAGAAGCACCGGCUAACUACGUG